GAGGAGGCGAGCUGGUAGGGGAGCCGUGAAUCUGGAGGAUGAACAUCACUCUACAAACAAGGAUUGUAAGUUUGUAUUAACCAAACAAACCGGGAAUAAAGGGCUUAAAAAUAAGACCAACUACAUGUUCGUUACCAGACUGUGGGGCCAGACUCGCUCUGUUUGUUCCAGACCAGAACUCUGGCUGAGGAGAGCUGAUGGAGGAGCCAAGACUCUGGAGGACGACAUCGCUCCACCAACCAGGAUCCUCACCAGGAAUCUGGAGGACUGAUGGAGAAGCCGUACAUCUGGAAGGAAUAGCCUGAGGAUCACCAGCACUCUACCAUCAAGGAUUCCUCAUAAGUUUGCAUUAUCUGGACAUGGUGGACUAGACGCACCUGAGCUGAACCUCACCUGAUCCUGUUUGGUCGGGGGUAGUCACACCUG